AACGUAUUAGGCCAUCUCUCUCCAUUUUCUCUUUAUUCUUUUCCAUUUUCUUUCCUUUUCUCUCUCUCUCUAAACCUCUAAACCGUACGAGAGGGCUUCUUGGGCAGAUUCUUGAGGAAGAGGUUGGGUUCUUGAUGGUUUGAUCUGAGGAGAACGUGCGGAGUCGAGGUUGUUGGCUGCGAGGAAGCUUGGCUGCGAGGAAGCUUGAGGAUAAAAAGGAAGCUAGCUUUCCUCUUCUUUUUCUUAUUCCUUUCUUCUCCUCUCUCAAGAGAGCUAUGUGGAGGGGAUUUCUUGGUGGAUUCAAGCUUUGUGCUGCAAAGAAUUUCAGCAGCAGAAGAACUUGAGGAAGCGAGGAAAAUCGGAGGAUUGAGACCCUAACUUGGAAUUGAUCGCGUACAAACCUAAUUGAGGGUAAAACGAACACGUUGGCGAAGUCGGUUCGGCAAUUCGUCGAGCCUACGCGAAGAUAUCACCAAAAGGACGGUUUCGGCAUCAAUUGUCACGAGCGCGAAAUCGCGAUUCUUGGAAAGUGCGGGAAGUGAAUUUCUCACGUUCCGGUAUCAAGUAAAGGUUACACGUGAGCGGCGCAGCGGCGCGAGGACAGGGCGUAGCUCCGUAGAUAGCGCCCUACCACCGAGACCAGUGAUAGAAGUACCCUGAAGAGGUCCAGCUCAGAGUUCCAAUUGGAAAGAAACAAAUUUGUAGUAAUUUGUAUAAGUUUGUAAUAACUUAAAGGCACAUUUGGUUAUGUAAAUGUAAACUAUUGUAAAUGUCUAAAGAAUCUGUGAGUUGAAUGCUUGUAAUAGCGUAGUUAGCAUUUUAUGUUUUUGAUACUA